CUCGUAGGCGGCCAACUAAGUCAGACGUGAAAUCCCUCGGCUUAACCGGGGAACUGCGUCUGAUACUGGAUGGCUUGAGGUUGGGAGAGGGAUGCGGAAUUCCAGGUGUAGCGGUGAAAUGCGUAGAUAUCUGGAGGAACACCGGUGGCGAAGGCGGCAUCCUGGACCAAUUCUGACGCUGAGGAGCGAAAGCCAGGGGGAGCAAAC
rnacentral:rRNA from 1 species